UUGUUUUCAAAAAUUGGUGUAGUUUAAGAAAUAAAAAUGGAGGCACAGAGGGGGACACAAUAAUCUCAGCCCUCGGAAAAUGCAGACAGGAGAAUCAUGGGUCAAAGGAUAUCUACAGUUACAUAGCAAACUGUAGGCGACUGGGCUCCAAAGACCUUGCACACACAGCACAAUACCUACGUGUGGACUGAGGUCAGAGCAGAUUUAAAGUUGUGGGACUACAGGAUAAGGAUGGAGAUGCAUAGAUUUUGGAGUGUAAUGGAUGUUUACAAAUGAACAUUUAAGUGUGCAUCCGACAGUUUCAGACAGGCUCUGCCUUCGAUUACCAUAAGUAGAAGAAGUGAGAGGUGGAAAAGCAGCAGCCAGGGAGGCAACAGAAGGCUCACCAGGAUUCAAACCAUGAGACUGAGUCUGCAGGGUGCAGGAGCCUACACUCAAAGGAAGAACUAGAGAGCCAGAUUCCAGAAAGGCAAAAGUGAAAUAUGGUGUGAACAGAGAGAAGAAAGCAGAGAUGUGUCAAGAGGUCAGAGAAGAGGGAAGAAAAGAAAAGAGGAAGAAAUAGAAGUGGGUUGGUACACUAGUUCAUUGCUCUGAUUUGCAGUGUUGUAAAGGUCUGCUGACUACUGGACUCAGGUCCUGGUGAUUCUCAGACCUGUCUCUGCCUGGCUGCUGCAGAGCUGUUUGGUGCCCAGGUCCCCUAAUGUUACCUGAACUCAGAGAAUAGCUGAAAUGCAGGACAGAGAACCAGCAUGGUUGACACACUGACACAGGUUCUUCUCCUACAGGCCAGCAGAGUAACGCCUAAACCCCAGCCAGGAUGACCCACAGACCCCUGGUGAGACAUCAUCUGUUUAUCCUCAGAGAACAGACUUUCUGGUGCCAGGAUCUCUCACCGGGUAGGUGAGUUACUUCAAAGUAGUGACUGAGGUGCAUACCACCAUCCUCCCUGCCUCCUGUAUAGGAAUAAGAGCACAUGGAUGCAGGAUUGUGUGUGACACAUCCUAAGAAUCUAUGUCAGCUCUGAUGUCCUCUCUUUAGAAGACCUGUCAUCCUUUCUGUCUCUGGUCCUGAGAGCCUGACUUGUGUUCUCUGUUUGCGAAUUUGUAAAUUUUUUAAUAAAUGUGGGAUUGUAAGUCAAUCAACUUGAGCCAGUUCAGAGUAAUACUGAGAUCAAGACAAGUUCGAAACAGAAAAUCUCAUUCUGAGACCAGCAGAAGUUAGGACUGUGCCCUGCUUGCUCCAGUCUGCAUGUUCAGAUCCAAGAAGCCCAUACCACCCCCACCUCUGCCACCCUUGAGAAAGUAAUAACAAGAUGGCUGAAUUACAGCUCUUCCUUCCCCUCUCUCCAUAGACACAUGUCCAUCAAGCACCUGGAAUUCCUCCUCAGGCAAUUGAAGGUUUCUCAGAACCUCAGCACAAGCCAAUAAAGCACAGUCAUCCUAUAACCAAUAAUCAAUCAAGAAGUUUCAUAUAGACCUUGUUACCCCACUAAAAGAAAGUUGUUUAACUGAUAAUCACUCAGAGAAUCGUUUCUCAACAGGACUCAAUCUAGAAGAAAUCCUGUCAACCCAUCAACAGAGAUGAGCUUAGUCCAUUUCAUUCCAGCCCUGAGUUCAACUUGCCUGCAUACAUUGAGGUCAGAAGAAGAACCAGGCAAACAAAUAAAAGUCUUACUCCAAGCAA
rnacentral:sRNA from 1 species